AGAUGGGAGAUGAGAGGGGAGGAGGGAGGAAGGAGUAACAAAAGUGAAAAUAAAAACUAAAAUCUAUUUGAAAUUGUUUUCACUUUCAAGUUUUUGUUUUCACUUUUGUUACUUUUCCCUCUCAUCCUCUCUCUCAAUCUCAUCCUC
rnacentral:miRNA from 1 species